rnacentral:rRNA from 1 species
GUGUCGGCAGCCGCGGUAAUACAGAGGGGGCAAGCGUUAUUCGGAAUUACUGGGCGUAAAGGGCUCGUAGGCCGCCAACUAAGUCAGACGUGAAAUCCCUCGGCUUAACCGGGGAACUGCGUCUGAUACUGGAUGGCUAGAGGUUGGGAGAGGGAUGCGGAAUUCCAGGUGUAGCGGUGAAAUGCGUAGAUAUCUGGAGGAACACCGGUGGCGAAAGCGGCAUCCUGGACCGGUAUUGACGCUGAGGCGCGAAAGCUAGGGGAGCAAACAGGAUUAGAAACCCCUGUAGUCC